UCCUGUAAUAUACCACUAGGCCUCUAGUUCUCAACUUAACCUACUAACAGUUCGAGCACUUAGCUACCAACUCUGCAAUAUCCCUCUUCAUACUACUCUACUAAUAAAUCUCCCAUAAAUCAUAGUACAUGUUAGUGACCCCUUGGUGAAUAGAGUAACCUGCACCAUGUGCUUUUAUAAGGAUUCUCAUCCUCAACCCAUCAAUACACGGCACAUACAGCCUACCCUGACACCGCAACACACCAUCUCCCCCUUAGGAGAAAAUAUCUACUUUCUGAUCUCUGACUGA
rnacentral:lncRNA from 1 species